rnacentral:rRNA from 1 species
UACGGGGGGGGCAAGCGUUGUUCGGAAUUACUGGGCGUAAAGGGCUCGUAGGCGGCCAACCAAGUCAGACGUGAAAUCCCUCGGCUUAACCGGGGAACUGCGUCUGAUACUGGAUGGCUUGAGUUUGGGAGAGGGAUGCGGAAUUCCAGGUGUAGCGGUGAAAUGCGUAGAUAUCUGGAGGAACACCGGUGGCGAAGGCGGCAUCCUGGACCAUUACUGACGCUGAGUGAGCGAAAGCCAGGGGAGCAAACGGG